UGAAGGUGAUGAGGAUAAAUUUGGAUCAUGCCUUUAAAUCUCUCCCAAGCUUGGUAGAGAUUUUCUUUAUUUUUUUGUCUGAAACUCUAGAUCUCACUCCUUAAUCA
rfam:Capsicum annuum cultivar Zunla-1 chromosome 10, whole genome shotgun sequence